GCCAGUGUGGUGCAGUGGUUUGAAUGUUGGAUCGCAACUUCGGAGACCAGGGUUCAAUUCCCAGCUUGGCCA